CAGUAGCCGCGGGAAUACGUAGGGUGCGAGCGUUAAUCGGAAUUACUGGGCGUAAAGCGUGCGCAGGCGGUUAUAUAAGACAGAUGUGAAAUCCCCGGGCUCAACCUGGGACCUGCAUUUGUGACUGUAUAGCUAGAGUACGGUAGAGGGGGAUGGAAUUCCGCGUGUAGCAGUGAAAUGCGUAGAUAUGCGGAGGAACACCGAUGGCGAAGGCAAUCCCCUGGACCUGUACUGACGCUCAUGCACGAAAGCGUGGGGAGCAAACAGGAUUAGAUACCCCGGUAGUCCCUGUCUCUUAUAC
rnacentral:rRNA from 1 species